AGAGAGAAAGAGAAGCAGAGAGAGAGAGAGAGAGAGAGAGACAGAGAAAAUUUGAGAGAGAGAGACAGAGAGAGAGAGAAAGAGGGUGUCCGUUAAUUUCCGUUAAUAUUUUUGUAUUUUGGGAGUGCGAGCAACGAUGGUUACAGACGAAGAGCUAUCCCGAGCCAUAGAGUCGCUCUUCAACGACGACAACCCUAACCACAACGCUAACCCUAACCCCAGAGCGUUCACCACCCUAAACGGUGUCGUUCAGGAUCUGGAGUCCAAGCUUGGGCUCGACCUCUCCCACAAGGUCGACUUCAUUCGAGCCCAGAUCCACCUCCUCUUCCGAUCCCACCCACCACCACCACCACCACCACCAAGAGACCAUUUUGCCCUCCACCAAAACCCUAAUUUCCACCCCGGUCCCUCCCCAGUGUCCUCCGCCUUCCAGAGCUUCUCGGCUCAGCCCCUUCCCCAGCCGCCGGCUAAGCCCGAACCCGACGCCGCCGCCGUUGCUGAGGCCCCGACGGUUAGUGCUCAACCUAAAGCAACUAAGAGAAAAGGUGGGCCUGGGGGUCUAAACAAACUUUGCGGUGUUUCGCCUGAACUUCAGGCUAUUGUUGGCCAGCCAGCAUUGCCAAGGACUGAGAUUGUGAAGCAGCUGUGGGCUUACAUAAGAAAACACAAUCUUCAAGAUCCAAGUAACAAAAGGAAAAUAAUCUGCAAUGAUGAGCUGCGUUUGGUAUUUGAGACAGACUGUACAGACAUGUUCAAGAUGAACAAGUUGCUAGCUAAACAUAUCAUUGCUCUAGAACCAACUAAACAGCCAAGUUCUAAGAAGCCGAAGGUAGAUGUGGAGCCUGCAAUGAAAAUUAGUGAAUCUGGUCCUUCUGUAAUAAUAUCUGAAGCACUUGCAAACUUCUUUGGAGUUGGUGGAAGGGAGAUGCUGCAGUCAGAGGUUUUAAGACGGAUCUGGGAAUAUAUAAAGCUCAACAAUCUGGAGGAUCCGAUAAAUCCCAUGGCAAUACUAUGUGAUGCAAAGCUUCAAGAGCUCUUUGGUUGUGAAAGCAUUUCUGCAUUGGGUAUACCAGAAGUUUUGGUGCGCCAUCAUAUAUUCAGGAAACCACUAUGCUGAUCAUGUUACUGAUUGGUAGGGUGCAUUGCAACUUUUAAAGUUUUGGGAGAACACUGCUAAAUUUGGUCGUAGUUUGAAGGGUUGCAAUUGCAAAUACAUGGUACUGAAGCCAGUAUGUAAGGUGACGCCUAGGAAAGCUGAUAUGUUUCUGUAUAUUGAUAACUUAGUUGUUCUGUCCUCUGUCCGAGUUUGUACGUAUGAACACAAUGAAGAUGUACUAUGGGCUUGUGGCAUGUUCUAUUUUGCUGUUGGAGCCAUGGUCCCAUGGUCUUAAUUUGUCUGACUAUCUUAGGUUAGAAUAACGCUUGGGAGUUUCUAACACCAGUAAAGUCCAGACAGUAGAGAAAGAAGAUAAUUUGUAAUAGAUGAUAUAACUUGUUUUUUUUUUUUUUUUUAAACACAUGGAAGAUGGUCUUUAUUUAGAUUUUUAUCAACUGCGUAUUAUGUACUGUGCAUGUAAAGAAAAUUUUAGGGAAAUGUUCAGUUCUUGGUUUUAUA